GACGAACCGUGCGAACGUUGUUCGGAAUCACUGGGCUUAAAGGGCGCGUAGGCGGACCGGCGAGUCAGGGGUGAAAGCCCGCGGCCCAACCGCGGAAGUGCCCCUGAUACCGCCGGCCUUGAGGGGGAUAGGGGCGUGCGGAACUUCGGGUGGAGCGGUGAAAUGCGUAGAUAUCCGAAGGAACACCGGUGGCGAAGGCGGCACGCUGGGUCCCUACUGACGCUGAGGCGCGAAAGCGUGGGGAGCGAACAGG
rnacentral:rRNA from 1 species